GAUGAACGCUGGCGGCGUGCUUAACACAUGCAAGUCGAACGAAGCACUUUAUUUGAUUUCCUUCGGGACUGAUUAUUUUGUGACUGAGUGGCGGACGGGUGAGUAACGCGUGGGUAACCUGCCUUGUACAGGGGGAUAACAGUUGGAAACGGCUGCUAAUACCGCAUAAGCGCACGGCAUCGCAUGAUGCAGUGUGAAAAACUCCGGUGGUAUAAGAUGGACCCGCGUUGGAUUAGCUAGUUGGUGAGGUAACGGCCCACCAAGGCGACGAUCCAUAGCCGAUCUGAGAGGGUGACCGGCCACAUUGGGACUGAGACACGGCCCAAACUCCUACGGGAGGCAGCAGUGGGGAAUAUUGCACAAUGGGCGAAAGCCUGAUGCAGCGACGCCGCGUGAGCGAAGAAGUAUUUCGGUAUGUAAAGCUCUAUCAGCAGGGAAGAUAAUGACGGUACCUGACUAAGAAGCACCGGCUAAAUACGUG
rnacentral:rRNA from 1 species